rnacentral:lncRNA from 1 species
CUGUUUUAACCUGUUCAAAACAUUAAAUGGAAAGAGGAGCUCUAAAACUAAAGAAAAUGCCUCAAAGCAAAGGUGGAUGAGUCGUAGGGAAACACUGGAGAACCAGCUUUCUCUGCAACACCAAUACUAACAAGCUCUAGUGAGUCCAAGAAGCUACAACUGUUCUGAGUCACCAUUACUUGGAAUCUAACAAUCAGUCAGUGGCAACCUCCACGCAGUAAAGAAAUGUUUCUCCAAAAAUGAAGUGAAAAUUAUUGUCGUGACGCAAUAUGCUGUAUAGCCAGAGUUCAGCGUCCCCUCAGUUUGUCACAUCUAGCUCGGUGUGGUGGUCAGCAAAUAUCUGAUACCAAGGAUGAUCCUUAAGGCUGCUGCAUGAUUUGUCAUAGCUUUCACACAAGGCUCCCUGGCCAGGAUACCACGGUAAGUGUCACUUUGUUCUUUUGCUCCUUCAACAUCGGGAUUAGUUCUGAGUUGCUCAUUCCAACCGCUGGUACUCCAUUUACUGCCACUAUCUCAUCUCCACACUUCAGCCUUGCGCUGCGGCAGGCAGGCGUCCCAGGCACGAUGGUUUUGAUGAAGAAGGGCUGGUUUCCUUUGCUCUCCUCAAAGCCUCCAACAAUGCUGAAGCCCCAGCUUUCCUGGUUGCCUUUGCUAAGGACAAUAUCUUGACAGCAGUGAAGGUAGCUGCAAAGACAGGCACAGCCAAAAACAGAGAAUGUUUGUAAACAUGCUUCAAGGAAAGCCACCUGACCAGAAGUUUACAUUUUCUCUUGGAGGAAGCGUGGCUAUGCAACAGCCUUGUCUUUCUCUUCUAUGGGCUGAAGGCAACCCUUUGUGCAAGGUGCGUUACAGGGCAGUUAUCAAAUCCAAAGAGGACAGUCUGUUAGAAGUCUCAGUACUGUUGGUGGUAGUCAAAGAGUUAAAGAAUGACUGUGCUCUCAAAGGGCUCGUGACCUGAGAAAUUCAUGAAUUCACAUUAGAAUAAACUUCAUGACUUUUCCUAACAAACAUUUUAAUAGACAAAACCAUAUCAACUGUAAACGGCACUGCUAAACCCCCUACAGUCAGUGUGAAUCGAGAUUUUUAUUCAGCUUGGUACAAUGAAGGCAUUCAGCAGCCAUGCCUCACUGAUGGCAAGUGAGCACUAUGAGGUGAGGCAGCCUUCCUUCUCCUGCAUACCACAUCAGAGUGUGAGACGCCCUUCCUGCAGGAAAGCGUUGCUAACACCCAGGGCUGCUCUGCACAGAAAGAUAGCACAUGGCACAUCACUGUGUGCUAGCCCCACUCAGUGAGGUGCCUUCCCAGUGAGUCUGAGGCACACGGCAAGGGAGAACGAAGUGCUAACAGAACACAAGCACAUGCCAGGCCCUUGCAAGGCGUCUGCAGAGGUGUGGCAGAAGCACAGGCCAACAGUCAGGUAAUGUUUGGCACCAGCAGGCUGCCACGCUGCGUGGAACUGCUGCUGAUCACCCACUGAGGUACUCCAGCAGCUGAACUUACGUUUUUGCCUCAAGGGCUUUGCUUGAGCAGUUUGCAGAUGAGUUUCAGAUUUCAAAAGCCUUCUCAGUUAACUUCUCACUGAGACAAAGAUCCAAUUAUCUGCUUUCAAACGGUAAUUUACUUCGUACCAGUUCCUCCUACGUUAAUGCUGGGAGACCCUGGGAGACCCAGCUGCAGCCUACUGCUGCCUCCAGAUUUCUUCUGCUGGUAUUAUACAGAUUAAAAAAAAAAACAUAGCUAUGACAAACGUAUAUGGAUGGCAUCUGGUGCAAAUAAACAGCCCAGAGAACAGAAGUGCUACUUCAGCAUAAAACCUAAGGAGCACUGAACACAUUCGCCAAGAGUUGAAGAAAGCUCUUUGCUAGAAAUCUAUUUCCAUAUGAAAAGGGGCUUUUAGGAAGAGAAACAUCAGUUCACCAUAAUGGAAAAUGACUGUGGGAAAAAAUAUUUUGGACUUCACAGAAAGUAAAGGUGCAGAUUUUAUUCUGGGAGGCUCCCUGCUAGAUCUGCAUCCCCUUGGGAGUUUGUGGAAUGUGCUGCUCCAGUGGGGCCACAGCAGGGAGCAUCCGAAGGUCACUGCAGAAGAGCUCAGGCUUUGUGGACUGGCUGUGGAAAGAUCUCGAGGUGAGAGGGAUGCUGCUUUUCCACCCCUGAGCAUUACCAGCCAAGCCUGGCAUGGGGCUGUUUCAGGAGUCAAAAGCUGAUACAGAGCAAGAGAGGGUAACUCAAUCUCCAGGAUUCAGAAAGCAAUGAAUUAGGAUCCCCAACACCAUGUUUUGAGAUGGUAUUUUAUACUAUGAGUAACUGGUCUUUAUUUAACAUAAUCCUAUGAAGAAAUGAAGUAAGGCUCCUAAGCUAUCUUCUGUGACACAUACAGUGAUCACGAUAAUCAUUCAAACAGCAGUAAUUAGUAGCAUGCAAUUAACUUGGAACACUCACCACCACCAGAUUACUAGCAGAACAAUGGAGAGAGCAGAAGUCUACCAGGACAGCAGGGUUUCCCACAGUCGUGUUACAAGAGAAAAAAAGCCAGAAUGUCAGGCACUGGGCUCUGCUGCCUGAGGCUGGAGAGAAGAGUGAUCCUACCUCAUCCCUCCAGCAGCACAGAUGUCUGCGUCUUCAUCAGGCACGCAUGGCCAGAGGCAAGGGUGGAAGCUCUGACCCAAGCUUACGCAACAAAUGCUGUGGUAUCCAAGUAGCCUUACGAGCAUGGAGUGUUUUUCCUUUCAGAGUACCAUGACUAAGAUGCUCCUGUUAUUCUGUCACCUGGCAUCCCAAGAAAGAUACAGGACCAGGGCUGUGAUCUCCUGAAGCUGUUUGGCACCAGUAGCCUGGCACGUAACCCAAGUUCUGCAGGAUGUGCUACAGGGACUGUGCAGCUCAGAGCCAGCAUGUCACUCAAUGAGCCAGCCAACAGCAUUUGAUGUAAAGAAAAUAACCCACAGAUACAAGAACCAAGGCAGGAAUUAAACACUGUAGGCUCAAGCACUGCAACAACUGAGUACGUUUCUCUAGCCCUGAGCUAGACUUUGACUCCAGGCUUUUGGCAUAAAAGCUUCCUCUAAGAAGGAUUUAAGGACUUCUGGAUCAGUGUAGCAGCUGAAAAAAAUGCUGAACAUAACCAAAAUAUUACAUGCCAUCAGCACUAAGCUUAAAGCUUCCACACUAAUUGCUACCAGGUGUUAUUACAGGCGGGUGGGAAAGCAGGUGAGAAAGAAUUAGAGCCAUUUUUACUACUAGAAACAAGAAGAAAAAUUCUGUCAACUCCUAAAAGUCAGCGUGCGAAAGGAAGCCUGAAGAACAGAAAGGGCAUCUGAAAUCACUGCUCCCUGCUUCAGUAGUGAGACCUUCUAACAGGCAAAGGAAGGGGGAGCCAACAUUAUUACCAGCAGCAAAAGGAUUUCAAGCAAUGCAUUACAUGGCAAGUAACAUCAGCCUAUGCUUGAAACAAAGGCAAGAUCCCAGUGAGUAAAGAUUGGACAGCAGUCCGGGCAGCAGGAAGUGCGGUGAUGCUGGGAACCAGAACACAUCCAAAGAAACUGGAGAAUGGAAGAAGGGAGAAGGCAUGGCCAGUUUUUCCUGGCUGCACUUCACUGCUGGAGCACCCGAGAGGAACAAGCACCUGCUGGCAGCUGAGGAUGUGUACCCAGGUUUGGGCUAUCCAGGUACAGCUCGAACUGGUUCCCAGCAGGCCUGCACAGAAUGGACAAGUUGAUUCUGAGGGAGAGUGGAGGAAACCAGAGGACUGUGCUGAGCACCAGCCAAGUUAGUCACCUGAGACACAAAGCUACCUUCCUUGAGCUGUUUUGUUUAGUGCUUACAGGCUGCUAAGUAACACAAGGGUAACGUAACAAGAGGCUUGUUAGUCUUUCUUCUUUCAGGUGCCUCAAGAAACAAGGCUAUAAAUAAUCUGAGCUUCCCACAAAAGGGUUUGGCUUUACUGUUCUACAUUUGUCUUCUGCAUGAUCCCUCUCCAGUUACCUGAAAUGACAACAGAUUCUAUCUCUUCUGGCUGAAUAUACUUUCAUGAAACCACAAAAGUGAGCAAACAGGAGGUUCACCUCACCAGAAAGGAGACAGAAAAUAUGUUUUUGACAUCUCAGCUCUGUAACACAGAACAUAUCAUGCUGCUGCUAAAAUCUUUGCUAAGUUAAUGAUCCAAAGCUUUGCAGCAGGGAAACUCAGCAAUUCAGAAUGGUUUAUGCUUCACACUAAAGAUCGCACAAUUACAACAGCCAGAUAGAAUUAAGACUGAAAGAGUUCCUCUGAAUGAGACAAUCAGAAUAGAUACUGUAAAGCAGCACAGAUACCUGCUGGCCUCUGCAAUGUCAUCCAGAAAGAGACACAGUGAUUUCAGCUAGCGAUAUUUCAGAAGGGACUGGUUCUACGCUGACUAAAUUUAAAGUCAGUGCCUCAAAUUCC